AAAGCGUAUAAAAUCGGGUGGCCAAUUCGUGUCAGAUUGCCUCAUAUGUGGAAGCAAAACACCCGUAGUGGUGGAGAAACUCUUGAGUUCAUCACUGCAGACGAAACUGUAAGGUAAAUAUGAUUUCAUUACAUAAAUCGUAUGAAAAAUAAAACUGAAUCUUAUGCUUCUUUGUUUUUUUUCAAGGGUGUAAAAAUUCAUGCAAGUAAAUAUGUUUUCAUUAUAUAUAUAUCGUAUGUCAUGUAAUGCCGAAUCUUACUACUUUGUUUUUUUUAGGGUGUAAAAAUCCAUGCAUCAUGCAAAAGAACUCAAAUGUAUAUGAGGUACAGCUGGGAACUUACCGGAAGAGGUUCAGUUGGGAACAAUAUAUGGACCUUAGCAUCCUGUUCAAAUUCAUC
rnacentral:lncRNA from 1 species